AGCCGCGUGGUGCAGUGGUUAGCAUGGUGCUCUUAUACAGUCUCUUUAUGAGGUAUGCAUAGGUCGUGGGUUCAAUCCCCACCGUGGCUA